CAGUCGCCACGGUAAUACGUAGGGCGCCAGCGUUAUCCGGAAUUAUUGGGCGUAAAGAGCUCGUAGGCGGUUUGUCGCGUCUGCCGUGAAAGUCCGGGGCUCAACCCCGGAUCUGCGGUGGGUACGGGCAGACUAGAGUGAUGUAGGGGAGACUGGAAUUCCUGGUGUAGCGGUGAAAUGCGCAGAUAUCAGGAGGAACACCGAUGGCGAAGGCAGGUCUCUGGGCAUUAACUGACGCUGAGGAGCGAAAGCAUGGGGAGCGAACAGGAUUAGAUACCCCCGUAGUCCCUGUCUCUUAUAA
rnacentral:rRNA from 1 species